UGCGCGCAGGGGUUGCAAGACCAGACCACUUAUUUUCUUAUUAUUGAACCAAAUAAGUUUCUGGAAUUGUAGCUUCUGCGUUGCUA
rnacentral:pre_miRNA from 1 species